ACCGGCGGCUCGAGUGGUGGCCACUAUUACUGGGCUUAAAGCGUUCGUAGCUGGCUUGUUAAGUCUCUGGGGAAAUCUUCCGGCUCAACCGGAAGGCGUCUCAGGGGUACUGGCAGGCUAGGGACCGGCAGAGGUGAGAGGUACUCCAGGGGUAGGAGUGAAAACCUGUACUCCUUGGGGGACGACCUGUGGCGGAGGCGUCUCACCAGGUCGGCACCCCUAGUGCGGAACGUAAGCUGGUGCAGCAUACCG
rnacentral:rRNA from 1 species